UGGCGGCGUGCCUAACACAUGCAAGUCGAACGGGGAUUUGUUUCGGCAGAAUCCUAGUGGCGAACGGGUGAGUAACGCGUAGGCAACCUGCCCUCCGGCCGGGGACAACACUCCGAAAGGGGUGCUAAUACCGGAUACGAAGUCUGUGCCGCAUGGUACGGAUUUGAAAGAUGGCCUCUAUUUAUAAGCUAUCGCCGGGGGAUGGGCCUGCGUCCGAUUAGCUGGUUGGUGGGGUAACGGCCUACCAAGGCGACGAUCGGUAGCCGGUCUGAGAGGAUGAACGGCCACAUUGGGACUGAGACACGGUCCAAACUCCUACGGGAGGCAGCAGUGGGGAAUAUUGCACAAUGGGGGAAACCCUGAUGCAGCCGACGCCGCGUGAAGGAUGAAGUAUUUCGGUAUGUAAACUUCUAUCAGCAGGGAAGAUGAUGACGGUACCUGACUAAGAAGCCCCGGCUAACUACGUGCCAGCAGCCGC
rnacentral:rRNA from 1 species